UUUAAGGUCUAACCUGCCCAAUGAGGAUUUAAAUGGCCGCAGUAUUUUGACUGUGCAAAGGUAGCAUAAUUAUUAGUUUUUUAAUUGAAAGCUUGUAUGAAGGGUUGGACGAGAUGAAAUCUGUCUUUAUUUAAAUUAAAAUAUAAUUUAACUUUUAAGUAAAAAGGCUUAAAUGUUUAUAAAAGACGAGAAGACCCUAUAGAUCUUUAUUUAAUUAAAAUUUUAAUAAUUUAGGAUUAUUUUAAUUUAAAGUUUUAAUUAAAUUUUAUUGGGGUAAUAUAAAGAUUAAAUAAAUUCUUUUUAUUUAUGACAUUGAUUUAUGAAUAUAUGAUCCAUUAAUAUUGAUUAUAAGAUUAAGUUACCUUAGGGAUAACAGCGUAAUUUUUUUUGGAGAGCUCAUAUCGAUAAAAAAGUUUGCGACCUCGAUGUUGGAUUAAAAAUUAGCUUGGGUGCAGAAGUUCAAGAUUUUGGUCUGUUCGACCAUUAAAUUUUUACAUGAUCUGAGUUCAGACCGGCGUGAGCCAGGUCGGUUUCUAUCUUUAUUAAGAUAAAAUGUUUUAGUACGAAAGGACCAAAUAUUUAAUAUAAUUAUAUUUAUUUUUU
rnacentral:rRNA from 1 species